GGCUGCAUGGUUGUAUAUCUCUCUCACAAGAGUUGUCUUUCUAAUACCAGUCAUCCCUUUGAUAAGAGUAGUCCAACUGUUGUAUCCUUCCCUACCAAUAAUCCUUGUGCGAAGCAGCAUUUCCACAUCUUCAUCCAAGCCCACCACAUAUUUGUCAUCAACAUUAUCUGAUGAUCUCAUGUUCGACACCGUCUCCGUCUCCG
rnacentral:lncRNA from 1 species